AACCAACAGCAGACCAGGAUCCACAGAUUGCACAGAUCAUAAUGCAUACACACUCACGCAUAAGCAUGCAACACAAGCUCACACACCCACAACCACACCCACUACACAACAACAACAAACACACUUAGUAUAACAAAUUUACCAGAUUUAAUGUAGAAGCGGAACAAAAAUCGUAAGCAAUUUCGUGUAUAUACAUAUAUAUGUACAUAGGCAUAUAUGUAGACCAGAUAUGUGCUCAUACUAUAUAUAUAUAUAUAUAUGUAUGCAGGUAGACCCAUUUUGAAUUGUAAUUGAAAAUUGAUUGAUUCGAUAUCGAAUUCUCUCGCACCAUUGCUGCUUGUUGAUUCAACAAAGAUUGAAAUCGCAUCCAAUCCCAUAUAUACCAUCCCAUUUAUAUCAUGCGAUAACGAUAGCGAUGUAUCCCCGCAUGUAUAUGGAAACGAUACGAUACGAUAUAUAACAAUAUUUGAAUUGAUUUCAAUCAAUUUCCACGCCACUGCUUGAUUAUGGCUGCGAAUCAGACUCAAUAACUAAUUGAAAUCGCAUCAAUAAAUAAGCAGAGAAUAAAACAGAAAACAAAACAACACAAAAAGAAGGGAAAUCGAACGAUAAAAGAUUUAAAAAACGUAAAAAACAUAAAGUUGCCGCCAGGAAGCACAGCAAAGCCAACUGGGACGACGAGGGGGGAAAGCAGUAAUAAAUACAGCAAAAGAUGAGUAAAAACAAAACAAAACAAAAAAAAAAAACAAGAAAAAACAUCAAAUAAUAAUAAUACAAUAAAAAACAAACAAAAAAAAACAAUGAAAAAGCCGAACGCAAAACUGCAAAGUAAUUUUGCAUAGUAAGCAGUAAUAAUUAUAAACAUAACUUAUAUUUAAUUUUUUGAAUUACAUCAAUAAAUAUGUUGAAAUUAUGUACAUCGCUCUGUCGAUCGGAUCGAUGGGACGCCCCGAUGCCCCGGAUUUCUGUAACUUCGCGACGGAACCUUCGAAUGACACCUCGCCACUAAAUAGACAGAGAGAGGUAGAGAUGGUGCGAGGAUAGAAGAACAGCAAGAAGUCGAUGCAGGAAAACGUCAGGCACAGCCUUUAAUCAAUCGAUCGUAGAUCUAAAGAACUAUAGAGAAUUACAUACCUAUAUAUAAACAAAUUUGAAAUCUGAAAAUCGUGCAAUUUCGAGGAAGAAAACUACCUAAAUUUCUUUGAAAUGUCUGAAAAUAUACAUAAUAGUAAAUCCCAAACAUUUAUAAAGAUUAUCUAUCAAUCCAUAAAUGAGGCAUCCAAAGGCAUCCCGUAAUUGUCAUUCAAAACUCAAAAGAAAACAUUACGAUUCGCGCUAAGAAUCAAAAAUGUUAUAGGAUGUUGUUAUGUUGAAAAUGCAUACCACUUUGAGUGAGGGUAGUAGCUAUUGUUUUGAGAUCUAAUUGUCGAAGGAAUGGAAUGGAAUGGUUUCGACCGAUCCUAUAAUUUAACGACAUUUUGAACCCGUUUCUAGCUAUGACCCAUCGAGUAUUAUGAUAUUAUAUGCAGGGAGGGGGAGUGGAGCUCUUCUUUAACAGGAAGACCAGCAAAUACAUUUUCAUCGGAAAACAGAAUAAAGGAUUCUAUUCUGAAGCCAUUCACGACCGACCUGCCGUUGCCUGGGAUUCCAUCUAUUUUGGAUACUAUCAUAGUACAAGGACUCGGUACCACUGAAAUUUUCGGACCUAUCCACAAAUAAAGAUUACAGUGCAGUGCCGCAGUUUGCAUACAAUUCACACAGAUGGAAGCAUGGAAGGAUAUGCAUACGAAGACAGCCCCUAUAGAAUGUAUAUAGAGAAAAGAAGUCAUUCCUUUUUGGUUCUCAAUGCCACUGCAUUCUACUACUCGCGGAUUACUUGGGACAUCCUUGGGACAUAUUUAUUAACUGUUAUUUUGGCCUCUUUUCUGUUUUAUUGUUCUUAAUUUGUGAAUCUGCAUACAUACAAAUAUGAACAUUUUUAUUUCCUUUCUUUUUAUAUUUAUAUUUUCAUUUUAUAUUUACGAAAGAAAUACAUACUAAUUCGUACAAAACUAA